GACGAACGCUGGCGGCGUGCUUAACACAUGCAAGUGGAGCGACGAACCGGGCUUCGGCCCGGGGCAAAGCCGCGAACGGGUGACUAACACGUGGGUAACCUGCCCCGAUGAUUGGGACAACCUCGGGAAACCGAGGCUAAUACCAAAUGUGCUCACACUCCUCGAGGAGUGUGAGGAAAGGAAGCUUCGGCCUCCGCAUCGGGAUGGCCCCGCGGCGCAUUAGCUUGUUGGUGGGGUAAUGGCCUACCAAGGCUUCGAUGCGUAGCUGGUCUGAGAGGACGAUCAGCCACACUGGGACUGAGACACGGCCCAGACUCCUACGGGAGGCAGCAGUGGGGAAUCUUGCGCAAUGCGCGAAAGCGUGACGCAGCAACGCCGCGUGCGGGAAGACGGCCUUCGGGUUGUAACCCGCUUUCAGUUGGGACGAAGCUUCGCCGGUGAAUAGCCGGCCGGAGUGACGGUACCUUCAGAAGAAGCCCCGGCUAACUACGUGCCAGCCGCCGCCGUAA
rnacentral:rRNA from 1 species